rnacentral:rRNA from 1 species
GACAUGGAGGCAACUCUGAUCCAGCCAUGCCGCGUGCAGGAAGACUGCCCUAUGGGUUGUAAACUGCUUUUAUACAGGAAGAAACACCUCUACGUGUAGAGGCUUGACGGUACUGUAAGAAUAAGGAUCGGCUAACUCCGUGCCAGCAGCCGCGGUAAUACGGAGGAUCCAAGCGUUAUCCGGAAUCACUGGGUUUAAAGGGUCCGUAGGCGGUCUUUUAAGUCAGAGGUGAAAUCCUACAGCUCAACUGUAGAAUUGCCUUUGAUACUGAAAGACUUGAGUUAUUGUGAAGUAGUUAGAAUGUGUGGUGUAGCGGUGAAAUGCAUAGAGAUCACACAGAAUACCGAUUGCGAAGGCAGAUUACUAACAAUAUACUGACGCUGAGGGACGAAAGCGUGGGUAGCGAACAGGAUUAGAUACCCUGGUAGUCCACGCCGUAAACGAUGGAUACUAGCUGUUCGAUCAACAUUGGUUGGUUGAGUGGCUAAGCGAAAGUGAUAAGUAUCCCACCUGGGGAGUACGGUCGCAAGACUGAAACUCAAAGGAAUUGACGGGGGCCCGCACAAGCGGUGGAGCAUGUGGUUUAAUUCGAUGAUACGCGAGGAACCUUACC